rnacentral:rRNA from 1 species
CCUACGGGAGGCUGCAGUGAGGAAUAUUGGUCAAUGGCCGAGAGGCUGAACCAGCCAAGUCGCGUGAGGGAAGAAUGUCCUAUGGAUUGUAAACCUCUUUUGUCAGGGAGCAAAGUCACCCACGUGUGGGUGUUUGAGAGUACCUGAAGAAAAAGCAUCGGCUAACUCCGUGCCAGCAGCCGCGGUAAUACGGAGGAUGCGAGCGUUAUCCGGAUUUAUUGGGUUUAAAGGGUGCGUAGGCGGGUUAUCAAGUCAGCGGUAAAAUUGUGGAGCUCAACUCCAUCCAGCCGUUGAAACUGAUGAUCUUGAGUGGGCGAGAAGUGUGCGGAAUGCGUGGUGUAGCGGUGAAAUGCAUAGAUAUCACGCAGAACUCCGAUUGCGAAGGCAGCAUACCGGCGCCCGACUGACGCUGAAGCACGAAAGCGUGGGUAUCGAACAGGAUUAGAUACCCGAGUAGUC